AGUUAACUCUUAAAUGGGUGUCAGAGGCACUGUCUUCCCCUAGCUAUGCGCCUCGUGCCUGGGAGCCUUAGGGCCACACGGAAGGGUAGAAAUCAGUUUCAGGUCAGGAGAGAUUCCUGCUCCCAGCCCAGGCCCAGACGGCAACAGAAGCUCAUGGUGAGUUCACCCCGGUCCUGGUCUGGCACCUCAUUGCUGGGGAGGUCUCGGCAGUCCAGAGGAGGUAGCCCCCACCCUGGGCAUCCAUCCGCCCAGGCCCCAGCCUCCGCGGGAAGACCCAAUUACAGAAGAGAGAAGUAUGUGGAGACCCUUGGCUGAGGUUGGGGGUCCUGGAAGCUGGAGGUAGUGUUCCUGGGUAUAGCAUGAUGGGUUGAUGGGUGGGUUUUAUUCUCUUUUUAAGGAUUUUUUAUAUUUUUCAAAUUUCCCUUUUGAAAUGUAUUCAUUUUGCAAUCAGAAAACAAAACAGGCCAGGCGUGGUGGUUCACACCUGUAAUCCCAGCACUUUGGGAGGCUGAGGCGGGUGGAUCACCUGAGGCCAGGAGUCCAAGACCAGCCUGGCCAACUUGGUGAAACCCCGUCUCUACUAAGAAUACAAAAAUUAGCCAGGCGUGGUGGUGGGCACCUGUAGCCCCAGCUACUUGGGAGGCUGAGGCACGAGAAUCGCUCGAACCCAGGAGGCGGAGCUUGCAGUGAGCUGAGAUCGCGCCACUGCACUCCAGCCUGGGCAACAGAGAGAGACUCUGUCUCAAAAAAAA
ensembl:lncRNA LINC03048 long intergenic non-protein coding RNA 3048